AUACGGGGGGUGCAAGCGUUAAUCGGAAUUACUGGGCGUAAAGCGCGCGCAGGCGGUCUUUUAAGUUGGAUGUGAAAGCCUACGGCUCAACCGUAGAACUGCAUCCAAAACUAUUAGACUAGAGUGUGGGAGAGGAAGAUGGAAUUAGUUGUGUAGGGGUAAAAUCCGUAGAGAUAACUAGGAAUACCAAAAGCGAAGGCAAUCUUCUGGAACACUACUGACGCUGAGGCGCGAAAGCGUGGGGAGCAAACAGGAUUAGAAACCCUAGUAGUCC
rnacentral:rRNA from 1 species